rnacentral:rRNA from 1 species
CCUAAGACAUGCAAGUCGAACGAAUGGCCCAGAAAUAUUUAUUGAAGUUUGAAGUGCUUGCACUGAUUACUGAUUUAUUUGGCUCUGGAUUCUCCAUUUAGUGGCAAACGGGUGAGUAACACGUGGGUUACCUACCUCUAAGUUGGGGAUAACAGUUGGAAACGACUGGUAAUACCGAAUGUGUUCUACGGAACAAAGAAGCCUCUAAAGCUUCACUUAAAGAUGGGCCUGCGGCGUAUUAACUAGUUGGUGAGGUAAUGGCUCACCAAGGUAACGAUGCGUAGCCGAACUGAGAGGUUGAACGGCCACACUGGGACUGAGACACGGCCCAGACUCCUACGGGAGACAGCAGUUAGGAAUAUUCGUCAAUGGGGGAAACCCUGAACGAGCAAUGCCGCGUGAGUGAUGAAGGCCCUAUGGGUUGUAAAACUCUGUUGUAUGGGAAGAACGGCUAUAUUAGGAAAUGAAUAUAGAGUGACGGUACCAUACCAGAAAGCUCCGGCUAACUACGUG